CUUCAUGGGCACUAGUCAGGUUCAUUUCCUCAACGGAAACUCCCAUUCUCUAUUCCCCCAGGGGGAAAAAAAAAUAAUUUGACUCUACCCUAUCCAGUCUCCUCCCAGCCUUUAUAAACCCGCCCACCUUCCGCAAAAGCUGAAGAUCAGUUGGUGCGGCGCUGCCGGAAGUCGAAUGGGCGGAGCGUGGAAGAUGGCGAGGGGGGAUUGGCUAAGCCCAUUUUGCAGGCUGGGUAGGCCACUGCACAGACCGCUGGCAAAGGCCUAGGCCUCUGGGCGGGAGAGGGGAAAUAGGUCCCGGGAGGGGGCGGGGAGGUUUGCGCCCUAGGGCUUUAGCGACUGUCUUAGGGCGGGGGCGCCCCCUGUUCCACCUUGCAGGCCCCGAAUGAAGCCGCAGUAUUUUCCUUAUAUGAUUGGGCCCAUGGCUUGGCAGCGCUGCUGCUGGCCUGGAGCCUGAGAGGAUUAUAAUACGUGACUGGCGAGGGUCACACCCACGGCAUAUUCUAGAGGAUGAGCAGAGAGUGAUAGUAAAAUAAAACUGCCACAUUUGGGAACUGUUUGUCCAGCAUUGAAACAAGCACUUAUGAACGCCGUUUAUAAUUUUUACACUCAGGCAAUAUGAGAAUUGUACAAAACAGAAAAACAUAAUUCACAUAACAUCAGACAAAUCCAAAUUGAGGGACAUUUUGCAACUCCAUGAAAUAGGGCCACAGUUAUGGCUUGUGGAGGUUCCCAGGCUAGGGGUCUAAUCCGAGCCAUAGC